CCUACGGGAGGCAGCAGUGGGGAAUAUUGCACAAUGGGGGAAACCCUGAUGCAGCGACGCCGCGUGAGUGAAGAAGUAUUUCGGUAUGUAAAGCUCUAUCAGCAGGGAAGAAGAAAGACGGUACCUGACUAAGAAGCCCCGGCUAACUACGUGCCAGCAGCCGCGGUAAUACGUAGGGGGCAAGCGUUAUCCGGAUUUACUGGGUGUAAAGGGAGCGUAGACGGCUGUGCAAGUCUGAAGUGAAAGCCCAGGGCUCAACCUCGGAACUACUACUAAAACUGUCGGACUUGAGUGCAGGAGGGGCAAUUGGAAUGCCUAGUGUAGCGGGGGAAUGCGUAGAUAUUAGGAGGAACACCAGUGGCGAAGGCGAAUUGCUGGACUGUAACUGACACUGAGGCACGAAAGCGUGGGGAGCAAACAGGAUUAGAUACCCGAGUAGUC
rnacentral:rRNA from 1 species